rnacentral:rRNA from 1 species
AGCGUACACGGUGGAUGCCCUGGCAGUCAGAGGCGAUGAAGGACGUGCUAAUCUGCGAUAAGCGUCGGUAAGGUGAUAUGAACCGUUAUAACCGGCGAUUUCCGAAUGGGGAAACCCAGUGUGAUUCGUCACACUAUCAUUAACUGAAUCCAUAGGUUAAUGAGGCGAACCGGGGGAACUGAAACAUCUAAGUACCCCGAGGAAAAGAAAUCAACCGAGAUUCCCCCAGUAGCGGCGAGCGAACGGGGAGGAGCCCAGAGCCUGAAUCAGUGUGUGUGUUAGUGGAAGCGUCUGGAAAGGCGCGCGAUACAGGGUGACAGCCCCGUACACAAAAAUGCACAUGCUGUGAGCUCGAUGAGUAGGGCGGGACACGUGGUAUCCUGUCUGAAUAUGGGGGGACCAUCCUCCAAGGCUAAAUACUCCUGACUGACCGAUAGUGAACCAGUACCGUGAGGGAAAGGCGAAAAGAACCCCGGCGAGGGGAGUGAAAAAGAACCUGAAACCGUGUACGUACAAGCAGUGGGAGCACGCUUAGGCGUGUGACUGCGUACCUUUUGUAUAAUGGGUCAGCGACUUAUAUUCUGUAGCAAGGUUAACCGAAUAGGGGAGCCGAAGGGAAACCGAGUCUUAACUGGGCGUUAAGUUGCAGGGUAUAGACCCGAAACCCGGUGAUCUAGCCAUGGGCAGGUUGAAGGUUGGGUAACACUAACUGGAGGACCGAACCGACUAAUGUUGAAAAAUUAGCGGAUGACUUGUGGCUGGGGGUGAAAGGCCAAUCAAACCGGGAGAUAGCUGGUUCUCCCCGAAAGCUAUUUAGGUAGCGCCUCGUGAAUUCAUCUCCGGGGGUAGAGCACUGUUUCGGCAAGGGGGUCAUCCCGACUUACCAACCCGAUGCAAACUGCGAAUACCGGAGAAUGUUAUCACGGGAGACACACGGCGGGUGCUAACGUCCGUCGUGAAGAGGGAAACAACCCAGACCGCCAGCUAAGGUCCCAAAGUCAUGGUUAAGUGGGAAACGAUGUGGGAAGGCCCAGACAGCCAGGAUGUUGGCUUAGAAGCAGCCAUCAUUUAAAGAAAGCGUAAUAGCUCACUGGUCGAGUCGGCCUGCGCGGAAGAUGUAACGGGGCUAAACCAUGCACCGAAGCUGCGGCAGCGACGCUGAUGCGUUGUUGGGUAGGGGAGCGUUCUGUAAGCCUGCGAAGGUGUGCUGUGAGGCAUGCUGGAGGUAUCAGAAGUGCGAAUGCUGACAUAAGUAACGAUAAAGCGGGUGAAAAGCCCGCUCGCCGGAAGACCAAGGGUUCCUGUCCAACGUUAAUCGGGGCAGGGUGAGUCGACCCCUAAGGCGAGGCCGAAAGGCGUAGUCGAUGGGAAACAGGUUAAUAUUCCUGUACUUGGUGUUACUGCGAAGGGGGGACGGAGAAGGCUAUGUUGGCCGGGCGACGGUUGUCCCGGUUUAAGCGUGUAGGCUGGUUUUCCAGGCAAAUCCGGAAAAUCAAGGCUGAGGCGUGAUGACGAGGCACUACGGUGCUGAAGCAACAAAUGCCCUGCUUCCAGGAAAAGCCUCUAAGCAUCAGGUAACAUCAAAUCGUACCCCAAACCGACACAGGUGGUCAGGUAGAGAAUACCAAGGCGCUUGAGAGAACUCGGGUGAAGGAACUAGGCAAAAUGGUGCCGUAACUUCGGGAGAAGGCACGCUGAUAUGUAGGUGAAGCGACUUGCUCGUGGAGCUGAAAUCAGUCGAAGAUACCAGCUGGCUGCAACUGUUUAUUAAAAACACAGCACUGUGCAAACACGAAAGUGGACGUAUACGGUGUGACGCCUGCCCGGUGCCGGAAGGUUAAUUGAUGGGGUUAGCGCAAGCGAAGCUCUUGAUCGAAGCCCCGGUAAACGGCGGCCGUAACUAUAACGGUCCUAAGGUAGCGAAAUUCCUUGUCGGGUAAGUUCCGACCUGCACGAAUGGCGUAAUGAUGGCCAGGCUGUCUCCACCCGAGACUCAGUGAAAUUGAACUCGCUGUGAAGAUGCAGUGUACCCGCGGCAAGACGGAAAGACCCCGUGAACCUUUACUAUAGCUUGACACUGAACAUUGAGCCUUGAUGUGUAGGAUAGGUGGGAGGCUUUGAAGUGUGGACGCCAGUCUGCAUGGAGCCGACCUUGAAAUACCACCCUUUAAUGUUUGAUGUUCUAACGUUGACCCGUAAUCCGGGUUGCGGACAGUGUCUGGUGGGUAGUUUGACUGGGGCGGUCUCCUCCUAAAGAGUAACGGAGGAGCACGAAGGUUGGCUAAUCCUGGUCGGACAUCAGGAGGUUAGUGCAAUGGCAUAAGCCAGCUUGACUGCGAGCGUGACGGCGCGAGCAGGUGCGAAAGCAGGUCAUAGUGAUCCGGUGGUUCUGAAUGGAAGGGCCAUCGCUCAACGGAUAAAAGGUACUCCGGGGAUAACAGGCUGAUACCGCCCAAGAGUUCAUAUCGACGGCGGUGUUUGGCACCUCGAUGUCGGCUCAUCACAUCCUGGGGCUGAAGUAGGUCCCAAGGGUAUGGCUGUUCGCCAUUUAAAGUGGUACGCGAGCUGGGUUUAGAACGUCGUGAGACAGUUCGGUCCCUAUCUGCCGUGGGCGCUGGAGAACUGAGGGGGGCUGCUCCUAGUACGAGAGGACCGGAGUGGACGCAUCACUGGUGUUCGGGUUGUCAUGCCAAUGGCACUGCCCGGUAGCUAAAUGCGGAAGAGAUAAGUGCUGAAAGCAUCUAAGCACGAAACUUGCCCCGAGAUGAGUUCUCCCUGACUCCUUGA